UUCCUGAAAAAUUUGACCCGGUUAGGAGCUGACUAUUUUCAAAGGAACCAGACCGACAGGAUGCAUGAGGUCAUCAAUUAUUGGGAAGUAUCUGCUGUAAUCAUGAUCAAGACCACGGCAAGAACCAGGCCCGAAUUUCUCGUACCAGCCCUUGAUCUUCUGCUCCAGGUCAGCGUUGGCCUCCUCUAGUGCUCGUACAUUUUCCAGAAGAGUGCCCCACCAUGAGAAGAAACACCCGGAAGAAGAAUUGAAACUGAUCAGAAGAGGGUCAGCAGAGAUGUAGAGAAGAGAAGGUCCGGAUACAGUGGAGGAAAGAAAAAGAGACAAGAAAUUUGAAAUCAAGCCAAUAUAUUUUUGAACUCUAGAUGAAAAAUGAGAAAAGGUAUCUAUGUGCAGUUAGAAAAGCUGUGUGGAACUAUACUCAUACCAGAGGUUAAGGAACGUGAAAUGCCUAUAAAAAUGAGCAGAAGAAAAGGAUUGAGGUAAAAUCCCACAAAAACAUUAGCACAUAAAGACAAAAAAAGUAGGAGCUGAAUUACAUCUCUAUAGAUAAGGAGAGUAUCCCAGAAAGACAUGUCCACAAAACAGAUUAAGAUACAAUGUACCACUUCAAAGUGAUCUCAAAUGCAUUAAAAAAUGGUGGUUGAAAAAAAAGUCAACACAAGCCAUAAUUAGGACACUUAGAAAUGAGAAGACAGAACUUACUAGGAAAGGAUUA